rnacentral:lncRNA from 1 species
UUAACAAAGUAAGCAAUUUCAUCGUCCCUAAGUGACUCAGUAUCAGAAGAUUCAUCCUCUUUGAUGGAUUUUAAGGCUAUGGACUUUCCUUUCUUAGGUUGUGUGACAGUGAGUUCAUAAGUUUGCAAGGAUCCUACCAGUUCUUCAAUUUUAACUUCAUCUAGGUCUUUACUUUCCUCAAUGGCAGUAACUUUAGGCCUAAAUCUCUCGGGCAGGGACCUAAGUACUUUUCUCACAAUUUUAGACUCGGGAAUUCUCUCACCUAGAUUGAAGCUAGAAUUAACAAUGUCAUUCAAUUUAGCAUAGAAUUCGUCAAACGUUUCAUCAUCCUUCAUUC